rnacentral:rRNA from 1 species
CCAGCAGCCGCGGUAAUUCCAGCUCCAAUAGCGUAUAUUAAAGUUGUUGCAGUUAAAAAGCUCGUAGUUGGAUUUCUGUUGUAUAAUCUAUAAUAUUACUAAGGUAUAUAUUAUAUUAUCAACAUCCUUCCUAUUAUAUUUCUAAAUAUAUAGGAAACUUUACUUUGAGAAAAUUAGAGUGCUUAAAGCAGGCAACUGCCUUGAAUACUCCAGCAUGGAAUAAUAAGUAAGGACUUUUGUCUUUCUUAUUGGUUCUAGGACAAAAGUAAUGGUUAAUAGGGACAGUUGGGGGCAUUCGUAUUUAACAGCCAGAGGUGAAAUUCUUAGAUUUGUUAAAGACGAACUACUGCGAAAGCAUUUGCCAAGGAUGUUUUCAUUAAUCAAGAACGAAAGUUAGGGGAUCGAAGACGAUCAGAUACCGUCGUAGUCUUAACCAUAAACUAUGCCGACUAGAGAUUGGAGGUUGUU